rnacentral:rRNA from 1 species
UACGGAGGGUGCAAGCGUUAUCCGGAUUCAUUGGGUUUAAAGGGAGCGUAGGUGGCCUUAUAAGUCAGUGGUGAAAUCUCGAGGCUUAACCUCGAAAUUGCCAUUGAUACUGUAGGGCUUGAGUAUAGUUGCCGUUGGCGGAAUAUGACAUGUAGUGGUGAAAUACAUAGAGAUGUCAUAGAACACCGAUUGCGAAGGCAGCUAACGAAACUAUAACUGACACUGAGGCUCGAAAGUGCGGGGAUCAAACAGG